rnacentral:tRNA from 1 species
CGUAGCGCAGCCAGGCCAGUGGGGCGGUGGCGCUGCCGGUGCCGCUGCCGGUGCCGGUGCCGGUGCCGGUGAAGCUUCGGCCGUCGCGG